UCCUGGUUAGCUCAAUUGGUAGAGCGACCUCCCUUGAAGGGCGUCGGUCCCGGGUUCGAUUCCCGGACCAGGAC
rnacentral:tRNA from 1 species